rnacentral:rRNA from 1 species
UACGGAAGGCAGCAGUGGGGAAUAUUGCACAAUGGGCGAAAGCCUGAUGCAGCUAUGCCGCGUGUAUGAAGAAGGCCUUAGGGUUGUAAAGUACUUUCAUCGGGGAGGAAAAAACAAAACUAAUAACUUUUAUUUCUUGACGUUACCCGAAAAAGAAGCACCGGCUAACUCCGUGCCAGCAGCCGCGGUAAUACGGAGGGUGCUAGCGUUAAUCAGAAUUACUGGGCGUAAAGAGCACGUAGGUGGUUUUUUUAAAGUCAGAUGUGAAAUCCCUGGGCUUAACCUAGGAACUGCAUUUUGAAACUGAAAUACUAGAGUAUCGUAGAGGGAGGUAGAAUUCUAGGUGUAGCGGUGAAAUGCGUAGAUAUCUGGAGGAAUACCUGUGGCGAAAGCGGCCUCCUAAACGAAUACUGACACUGAGGUGCGAAAGCGUGGGGAGCAAACAGGGAUUAGAUACC